UCAGAGGCAGAGCUCUGGGGCGUCUCCACCAUGGCCUGGACCCCGCUCCUGCUCCCCCUCCUCACUCUCUGCACAGGUUCUGUGGAGUCUUCUGAGUUGACUCAGCCACCAACAGCAUCUGUGGUCUUGGGACAGACAGCCACCAUAACCUGCCAGGGAGAUGACAUAGAAAGCAAUUAUGCUCACUGGUACCAGCAGAAGCCCGGCCAGGCCCCUGUGCUGGUCAUCUAUGGUAGUAACAACAGGCCUUCAGGGAUUCCUGAACGAUUCUCUGGCUCCAACUCAGGAGACACAGCCACCCUGACCAUCAGUGAAGCCCAGGAUGAGGACGAGGCUGACUAUUACUGUCAGUCAGUAAAUAUUUUAGUUAGUGAAGCUCACAGUGACAUAGGCUGA